AGCAUAAUAAUUUGCCUUCUAAUUAGAGGCUAGUAUGAAUGGGUAAACGAGAAUACAACUGGUCUCCUUCUAGAAAAUAAAAAUUAACCUUUAGAUGAAAAGGUCUAAAUAUAAGUAUAAGACAAAAAGACCCCGUCGAGCUUUACUAGCCCCUCACUCCCCUAUCUGACCUUUCUUAAUACAUGUUUGACCCCCCUAGUUUAGUUGGGGCGACUAAGGAGUACACAAACCCUCCUCUCCCACAUCCGGCUAACAGGCCUCUUCUUGACCCGUUUUCGACCAAAGGAAAAGCUACCGCAGGGAUAACAGGCUAAUCCUCCUUAAGAGCCCAUAUUGACAGGAGGGUUUGGCACCUCGAUGUUGGCUUAGGGCAGCCCCUAAAUGCAGAAGUUUAGCCCGGCAAGUUUGUUCAACUUCUAACC
rnacentral:rRNA from 1 species